ensembl:lncRNA
CAUUUUUCAUAUUUAACAGAGGAUGAGCAGCUUUUCUUACUUAUGAUUCAAAUCGAAGUGGGCUUUAAAUUGGCACUAAAAUCUGUUCAUUUAUCACCUUAAAAUAGUUCUUAGUAGUAACAAAUACAACACAAGUGCCCUACACUCCUGAUACCGGAUACAUUGGAAAUGUGUAAGCAACCCCAAAUCCCCUGAGUUUACAAAGAAUGUGCAGAAAAAGGGACUUUCAUCCAUCCCCUGAGAGGGAUCCUUAAGGAUCACUCUGUUCCAACCCCCCGCCAUGGGUUGGGUGCCCCCCAGCUCAGCCUGCCCAGGGCCCGUCCAUGGCCUUGGGCACCUGCAGGGAUGGGGCACCCACAACUAUGGGCAGAAGAUGCCAACAGGAUGUGUUCGUGUUUGUGUCAGGGAAAUAAACACCAGGAAAAAAACAGCUACAAAGAGACGUUAAGCAGUGCCACGUUUGGUGCAGGGCUCAGCAGCAUGCAGUGAGCGAAGCAUGGGGCUGCACACUGAAUAAGAAUGACGAAAAAAAAAAAGCCCAACAGCUGUCUCAUUCAUUGAGCACGAUUAAUCUGAUCUGAAAGAAGCCGGGUUCCUAUGGAAAAACAAUGUGCAGCUUGUAAUCAAGAAGCAUCUCAAAGCAUGUGCAUAAGUGGUUUGAUUCUCCCAUAAAAGGGUUGGAAAUCCAAUACAACUAUUGACAUGCAGAGAUCUUUACAACAGCAGAAAGCAGAUGCUCUGGCCAAGGAUCAAAGCUUUGAGCACUGGUUUAGGCCAUCCAGGAGGUCAUUUCCUGACCUCCAAAUCUCCCUUUCCAACAUGAAAGUUCUGCUGAUUUAUUCUUUCACUUGUUUGCACUGCUUAUGUGGAUGAGAUAGAGCACAGAAACUGGAACUUUUAGGAGCUGUGUGGCACUGGGAGAGAAAUGAGGGGUGUGGGGCAGAAACAAGGAGAUGGGGUUGGCAUGGUGUCACCGCAUGGCCGGACACCGGCAUGAAGGCACCACAUGGUUGGGGUUGGGUUGGUGGCACUGCAUGGUAGGUGUUGGGGUGAUGGCACCAUGUGUUUGGGGUUGGGUUGGUGGCACCAUGUGGUUCGGGUUGGGUUAGCAACACCACAAGGUUGAGGUUGGGUUGGUGACACUGCAUGGUUGGGGUAGGGGGCACUGCAUGGUGGUUGGGGUUGGGUUGGUGGUACUGUGUGGUUGGGGUUGGGUUGGCAAUACUGCAUGGUUGAGCUUGGGUUGGUGGCACCAUGUGGUUGGGGUUGGGUUGGUGGCACUGCGUGGUUGGGGCUGGUGUGGUGGCACCAUGUGGUUGGGUGGGUGGCACUGUGGGGUUGGGUUGGUGGUACCACAUGGUUGAGGACCAGAGGCCACACUCCCACCCAGGGCCACCCACCGCCUUCCCAUGGAGGGAAACCACAGUGAAGGCUCCUGCAACGUCUCAGGACACACAGGACCAACUCUCAGUCCUUUCAGGACGGGAUUUGUCCCUUUUGGGUCACGAAAGACCUUUCCAUUCCUUUGGUUAAAAACAACCAAGGAGAAGCUACAGCACUCAAACCUGAUUUUGUACUUUUUAUCCCUGCUUUGUGACAGCAAAUGAGGAUCAAAAUAGAGCAUCGUGUGGGUGGGUGUAGAUUUAAAUAGCAAAUGGGCACACGGCCGGUGCCAUCCGUCCACCGCAGCACCGCACGGAGCAAUGCCCUGAGCACAGCUGGGCACAUCCCAGCCCUUCACACAGAUCACAGCCUGCAGGAUGCUGCCAUCUCCCCACGGCUAGGGGGACAACAUAGAACCACUGAAUCACA